UAGCAGUUAGGAGUAGAAUGCACCCUUUUUAUAUCACUCACAUUAGGGCUCAUACACCUGUUCCAGGACCUUUAACUGGAGGGAAUCAAAUGGCUGAUCGCCUAGUUGCUACUGCAAUAUCUAAUGCUAGACACUUUCACAAUUUAACCCAUGUUAAUGCCUCUGGUCUCAAACGCAGAUACAGCAUUACCUGGAAAGAAGCUAAAGCUAUUACCCAGUGAUGCCCAAUUUGCCAAAUGGCGCAUUCCUCAUCUUUUACAGGAGGAGUUAAUCCUCAAGGAUUGGAACCUAAUUCUCUUUAGCAAAUGGAUGUCACACAUGUUCCCUCGUUUGGGAGACUAGCUUAUGUACAUGUAUGUGUGGACACCUUUUCCCACUUUGGGCUACAUGCCAAUUAGGAGAGUCUUCUGCCUGUGUUAAAUGUCACCUUUUGCAAUGUUUUGAAGUGAUGGGCAUUCCAGCUUCUAUUAAAACCGAUAAUGCCCCAGGCUGUACUAGCCAAGCUCUAGCUACAUUUUUCUCUAUGUGGAAUAUUAAACACAUUACUGGUAUCCCAUAUAAUUCUCAAGGACAAGCCAUAGUAGAAAGAAUGAAUCUGUCCCUGAAACAGCAGUAGCAAAAACAAAGGGGGCGGGGGGAAACAGGGACUAUGGGACACUGCAUAUACAAUUGAAUCUAGCAUUAUUGACUUUAAAUUUUUUGAGCCUGCCUAAGGGCCAGAUGCUAUCAGCAGCUGAACAGCAUCUACAGAAACCAGCUGCAAAGACAGAAGCAGAACAACUGGUUUGGUGGAGAGAUCUGAUAACAAAAAGUUGGGAAAUAGGUAAAAUAAUAACUUGGGGUAGAGAUUAUGCUUGUGUUUCUCCAGGCCAGAACCAGCAGCUGAUUUAGAUACCAUCAAGACACCUAAAACCUUAUCAUGAGCCGGAUGCUGUGGAAGAGAUUCUGGGAGAAUCCUGAGGACCCCCCAGUUGCAGCCAUGUCAAGACUGAUGCUGAGGAGGACCCCAACUGUCACGAGCAAUACACGUCAAACACAGCCACCUACUUGGGGAGAGAUCAAGAAGCUGUCACAGAUGGUGGAAGAAAACCUGAGGAAAGUGGGACAACCAGUCACAAUGAGUAAUUUAAUGAUAGCUAUGAGAGCGGUGAUCACCAUUGCUUCUGCAGAUGCAGAUCCUGACUCCUGCGAGAAGUAGCUCACCGUGAUAAAGCUGCCUUUGCUUUUAUUGCCCUGCAAAAACAAGAAGGGGGACAUGCUGGGGAAUAGGCCCCCAAAUCUGGACAUAAACUGGCCCCAAAACUGGCCAUAAACAAAAUCUCUGCAGCACUGUGACAUGUUCAUGGUGGCCAUAACGCCCAUGCUGGAAGGCUGUGGUUUACCGGAAUGAGGGCGAGGAACACCUGGCCCAUCCAGGGCAGAAAACCACUUAUAGGUAUUCCUAAACCAGAAACAAUAGUAUGAGCAACCUGUGCCUUAAGGACAUGUUCCUGCUGCAGAUAACUAGCCAGAGACCAUCCCUUUGUUUCGGCCCAUCCUUUUGUUUCCUGUAAGGAGUGCUUUUAGUUAAUCUAUAAUCUAUAGAAACAAUACUUAUCACUGGCUUGCUGUUAAUAAAUAAGUGGGUAAAUCUCUGCUCAUGGCUCUCAGCUCUGAAGGCUGUGAGUCCCCUGAUUUCCCACUCCACAUGCUA